rnacentral:rRNA from 1 species
GUCGUGGGCGUAGGAAAUUUGAGAGGAGCUGUCCUUAGUACGAGAGGACCGGGAUGGACAUACCGCUGGUGUACCAGUUGUCUUGCCAAAGGCAUCGCUGGGUAGCUAUGUAUGGAAGGGAUAAGCGCUGAAAGCAUCUAAGUGCGAAGCCCCCCUCAAGAUGAGAUUUCCGAUGCGUAAGCAGUAAGACACCUUAAAGACGAUGAGGUAGAUAGGCUAGGAGUGGAAGCAUAGCGAUAUGUGGAGCGGACUAGUACUAAUCAGUCGAGCACUUGACCAA